rnacentral:rRNA from 1 species
GUAGGUGGCAAGCGUUGUCCGGAAUUAUUGGGCGUAAAGCGCGCGCAGGCGGUUCUUUAAGUCUGAUGUGAAAGCCCACGGCUCAACCGUGGAGGGUCAUUGGAAACUGGAGAACUUGAGUACAGAAGAGGAAAGCGGAAUUCCACGUGUAGCGGUGAAAGGCGUAGAGAUGUGGAGGAACACCAGUGGCGAAGGCGGCUUUCUGGUCUGUAACUGACGCUGAGGCGCGAAAGCGUGGGGAGCAAACAGGGAUUAGAUACCCUGGUAGUCCACGCCGUAAACGAUGAGUGCUAAGUGUUAGGGGGUUUCCCGCCCCUUAGUGCUGCAGCUAACGCAUUAAGCACUCCGCCUGGGGAGUACGGCCGCAAGGCUG